rnacentral:rRNA from 1 species
AGCCGCGGUAAAACGUAGGAGACAAACGUUAUCCGGAGUUACUGGGCGUAAAGGGCGUGCAGGCGGUCGACUAAGUCUGGCGUGAAAGCUCUCGGCUAAACCGGGAGAGGUCGUUGGAUACUGGUUGACUAGAGGACGGUAGAGGCGAGUGGAAUUCCGGGUGUAGUGGUGAAAUGCGUAGAGACCCGGAGGAACACCAGUGGCGAAGGCGACUCGCUGGGCCGUACCUGACGCUGAUACGCGACAGCAUGGGGAGCGAAU